GGAGAAAAGCAGGGGAUCGAAAGACCUUAUGCUUUUGGAGCGGCCGAUGUCUGAUUAGCUAGUUGGUAGGGUAAUGGCCUACCAAGGCGACGAUCAGUAGUUGGUCUGAGAGGAUGGCCAACCACACUGGGACUGAGACACGGCCCGGGCUCCUACGGGAGGCAGCAGUGGGGAAUUUUGGACAAUGGGCGAAAGCCUGAUCCAGCAAUGCCGCGUGAGUGAAGAAGGCCCUCGGGUUGUAAAGCUCUUUCAGUUGGGAAGAAAGGAUCGUGACUAAUAAUCGCGAUUCAUGACAGUAUCAACAGAAGAAGCACCGGCUAACUACGUGCCAGCAGCCGCGGUAAUACGUAGGGUGCAAGCGUUAAUCGGAAUUAUUGGGCGUAAAGGGUGCGCAGGCGGUUUUGUAAGUCAGAUGUGAAAUCCCCGGGCUUAACCUGGGAAUUGCGUUUGAAACUACAAGACUAGAGUGUGGCAGAGGGGGGUGGAAUUCCAUGUGUAGCAGUGAAAUGCGUAGAGAUGUGGAAGAACAUCGAUGGCGAAGGCAACCCCCUGGGUUAACACUGACGCUCAGGCACGAAAGCGUGGGGAGCAAACAGGAUUAGAUACCCUGGUAGUCCACGCCCUAAACUAUGUCAACUAGUUGUCGGGUCUUAAUAGGCUUGGUAACGUAGCUAACGCGUGAAGUUGACCGCCUGGGGAGUACGGUCGCAAGAUUAAAACUCAAAGGAAUUGACGGGGACCCGCACAAGCGGUGGAUUAUGUGGAUUAAUUCGAUGCAACGCGAAAAACCUUACCUACCCUUGACAUGUGCAGAAUUUUUCAGAGAUGAAAAAGUGCCCGAAAGGGAACUGCAACACAGGUGCUGCAUGGCUGUCGUCAGCUCGUGUCGUGCGAUGUUGGGUUAAGUCCCGCAACGAGCGCAACCCUUGUCAUUAAUUGCCAUCAUUCAGUUGGGCACUUUAAUGAGACUGCCGGUGACAAACCGGAGGAAGGUGGGGAUGACGUCAAGUCCUCAUGGCCCUUAUGGGUAGGGAUACACACGUCAUACAAUGGGUGGUGUCAAAGGGUUGCCAAACCGCGAGGGGGAGCUAAUCCCAUAAAACCAGUCGUAGUCCGGAUCGGAGUG
rnacentral:rRNA from 1 species